rnacentral:rRNA from 1 species
CCUACGGGAGGCAGCAGUGGGGAAUAUUGGACAAUGGGCGCAAGCCUGAUCCAGCAAUGCCGCGUGAGUGAUGAAGGCCUUCGGGUUGUAAAGCUCUUUCGCGCGCGACGAUGAUGACGGUAGCGUGAGAAGAAGCCCCGGCUAACUUCGUGCCAGCAGCCGCGGUAAUACGAAGGGGGCGAGCGUUGUUCGGAAUUACUGGGCGUAAAGGGCGCGUAGGCGGUGUGUCAAGUCAGGCGUGAAAGCCCCGGGCUCAACCUGGGAACGGCGCUUGAGACUGGCACGCUCGAGUUCGGGAGAGGAUGGUGGAAUUCCCAGUGUAGAGGUGAAAUUCGUAGAUAUUGGGAAGAACACCGAUGGCGAAGGCAGCCAUCUGGACCGACACUGACGCUGAGGCGCGAAAGCGUGGGGAGCAAACAGGAUUAGAUACCCUGGUAGUCCACGCCGUAAACGAUGAGUGCUAGACGUUGGGGUCCUUAGGACUUCGGUGUCGCAGCUAACGCAUUAAGCACUCCGCCUGGGGAGUACGGCCGCAAGGUUAAAACUCAAAGGAAUUGACGG